UACAGAGGGUGCGAGCGUUAAUCGGAAUUACUGGGCGUAAAGCGCACGUAGGCGGCUUGGUAUGUCGGGUGUGAAAUCCCCGGGCUCAACCUGGGAACUGCAUCCGAAACUGCCUUGCUAGAGUAUGGGAGAGGGAAGUGGAAUUUCCGGUGUAGCGGUGAAAUGCGUAGAUAUCAGGAAGAACACCCGUGGCGAAGGCGGCUCGCUGGAACGCAACUGACGCUGAGACGCGAAAGCGUGGGGAGCAAACAGG
rnacentral:rRNA from 1 species